UUUCUGGCUCCAAACCUGGGGGCAGCCAUCCAUUUCAGGGCCCUACGUGCUUCUCUGGAGGAGGCAUUCAGAAAUAGAGCUCAGAGCCAUGUAUCAGCCUUUCCCUGAGAACUGUAUUAGCUUCAAAUCCAAUUGGCUUUCCUAAAAACAGCUCCUUUACUUCUUUAACUGGUUUAUGGCUAAGAACUUUUACAUUUCAAUACAUUCCUGGGAAAGAUGACAGCUGGCAAACUGAUGGAUUGUUCUCACACCUGAGAAAAUCACCAGUAGAAAGGUACCUUGGGUUUAGGAAGAUGCCCUCCUUAAAUCUAACAUAAGCAACUGUCACAGCAGGUAAAGCCUCAGAGACCCCAGGGCAGCCGAACCUUCCAAGAGUCCCCUAUGGCCUCUUUCCUGCCAUACACAUCUUAGACCUCACACUGUGAGUAUCUUUUGAACUUCAUUGAGUUGAAUUUCAUCUCUCUGUGUGUUUAAUAAAAAUUCCAUCUGUAAGAGACAAAUAAAUUACCUUGUCUCCAAUAACCAAGUUCCUUUGACUUCCGGGGUCACUUAAUAACUUUGAGUUCUUAUGGUUCACCAAGCUCCUAGGCAAGUUGUUUGCUCUUUAAGCAGAAUCUUGAAAGUGUGAUUGUACCUAUAUAUGUUAUUUUCACUACUUAUGAAAUAAUAUUUACUAUUUUACAGAUGAUGUCACCAGGCAUUUAACAGAUAGUAAAACUGAGACUCAAAUACUCUGGGCCUCUGUUUUGCUUUCAAAACAUGCAGAAGAUAAAUGAAAAUGGUCUCUUCCUCUUCUUAAUUUAUCCCACUAUGCCUGGGUUGUGAUCCACUGCUAUAGUACCUGCAGUAUGCAUAAGACCCUGCAGGGACAGUCGUUUUCCUCACAGCGAACCCUUCAUGCAGAUGGCUUCAAGCUAACCAGGUUCUUUCUUAUGCUCUCAUUACCCUGUGUCACCCCACUGUGGUUAUCCUGUGAGACAAUUAUAUAGAGGUCAUUACCGUGCUGUCCUCGAGAUACAGCUGUAGAAGUAUGUGAGAAAAAUGUCUCACAGCAUAUAUGCUAUCAGUUAAAGAAGAGUUUAUCAGCUUUCCAGCAUGUGACAGAGCACUGUUGUAAUACAUGAUAAGAAAAUAUGGCAGGCAGACAUACAGUGCAAGCAACAUGUGGAGGGGAAAUUUAUGUUGCUACUCUUCUGCUUCCUCUCUUCCACGUGCCAAAAGGCAUAGAAGGGUCUAUAUAGAUAUGGUCUACUCUUUAUCUUCUAAGGACUUAUAAUCCAUCAGAGAACAAGGCACAGGGUGUGUGAUAGUGAUGUUAGCAGCACAUGGCAUACACCACGACAAGCUUCCUAUGAAGGAACAGCACAGAGCACACCAUGGAAGCUUUGAUGAGUGUGUCCAGAUGGAGUCGAGGGGAUUCAAAUAUAGAUUCCUGAGGAAAGCUGAGCUGAGCCUUCAAGGACAAAGAAUCAGCCAGGCUCUGCUUCAGUACCUGAACCAGGAACUGGAUGUCGAAGGUUUGCUUUCUCACUGGAGAACAAUCACAGGACCUCCGUGGGCCCCUCACCAUGCCUGGACAGUACCAGUUAUUACAAACACCAUCAAAUCAUUACAUAUGAAGAAUCACUGCCAGAUAUCCACUACUAAACACAGUAUUCAAACUUCUCCCAAUAAUUUUCUCACUUUCAAAUGUUUAAAGGAAGGACAUAGGAGACCAGAACAAAUGGAAAACAUCAGGCCUUUGUCUAAAUAAAAUCAAAGGAACUCCAGCUAUUAAAGAAAAGUGUACUGAUAUUCACAUUCCACAGUGGAGAGAGGAGGGACUUGUAAUUUCCCACCCCUUACUGAACAGCUAAUAAGGGCUAAGGGAAACUCAGUUUUCUCACACGCUCCAGUGGAUGGUGCCAUAACACGUAUCGUCCAGUAGAUGGUGCCACAAACCCAUGCUCCAGUAGAUGGUGCCAUACAUCGAUGCUCCAGUAGACGGUGCCAUACACCCAUGAACAUAUGGGCAGCAGUAAUUGUUUACAGUGGAUCUGGGAAUUGGGAGGGAGAGAAGUGAUGGGGGGGAUGGAGAAGAUAUGAAACUGGGAGCAGGAUAUGGAAAUGGAGUCUGGGAGGAGU